UACAGAGGUCUCAAGCGUUGUUCGGAUUCAUUGGGCGUAAAGGGUGCGUAGGUGGCGCCGUAAGUCAGGUGUGAAAUUUCGGAGCUUAACUCCGAAACUGCAUUUGAUACUGCGGUGCUUGAGGACUGGAGAGGAGACUGGAAUUCACGGUGUAGCAGUGAAAAUGCGUAGAUAUCGUGAGGAAGACCAGUGGCGAAGGCGGGUCUCUGGACAGUUCCUGACACUGAGGCACGAAGGCCCAGGGGAGCAAACGGGG
rnacentral:rRNA from 1 species